AUUGAACGCUGGCGGCAUGCUUUACACAUGCAAGUCGAACGGCAGCGCGGGCUUCGGCCUGGCGGCGAGUGGCGAACGGGUGAGUAAUGCAUCGGAACGUGCCCAGUAGUGGGGGAUAGCCCGGCGAAAGCCGGAUUAAUACCGCAUACGACCUGAGGGUGAAAGCGGGGGACCGAAAGGCCUCGCGCUAUUGGAGCGGCCGAUGUCGGAUUAGCUAGUUGGUGGGGUUAAGGCUUACCAAGGCGACGAUCCGUAGCUGGUCUGAGAGGACGACCAGCCACACUGGGACUGAGACACGGCCCAGACUCCUACGGGAGGCAGCAGUGGGGAAUUUUGGACAAUGGGGGCAACCCUGAUCCAGCCAUGCCGCGUGCGGGAAGAAGGCCUUCGGGUUGUAAACCGCUUUUGUUCGGGAAGAAAUCCUCUGGGCUAAUACCCCGGGGGGAUGACGGUACCGGAAGAAUAAGCACCGGCUAACUACGUG
rnacentral:rRNA from 1 species